ACGCAGAACAAACUUUUCUUUCUUUUUUUUAAUACAACAAAAAUGCAACAAAUACACCUGUCCGUGUCUCACCCCUAUCUCAUCCAAGUGAUAAGAGUUUAUAAAUGGACCAAUUUGUCCCGGACCGGAGGUGGUCCGGGCUGCUAAGUUUCCCAUACAGGACAGGUCAGAUUGGGGGCUCAAAGCACCAGGGCCCGUCUAGUCCUUUCCCAGAAGAACUUCCCGGGCUGGCACGGCCCAGACAGGUUCCGUCUCGGCAGCAGAGUGAGGAAACGGGAACACAACGUUGCCGGCGCGUCCUGGGUGUGGAUUUCGCCACAGGGGGGCUUCUGUACGUUUCCGAGCUGAAGCCCCUCUCGGUCCGGAUCCGCUGGCUGUCACCCGAGCUUCCCCGCCGUGCCUGCCUGCCUGGAUCGGGACAGCCCGACCCCGCCACAGGAUCCUAGAGCGUUCCCCCAGCCUGGGUCUGGGGACCCCGAAACCUGCUGCUCUUCCACAGGGCUAAUGGAGCUAAUGAGCCGCUUGACUGGAAUAUCUGCCAGAUCUGGAAGUGGAAAUCACUCCCAGUCUCACACACCCACACACUCACAAUACACACCCACUCUCACUCACACACCCACAGUACACACCCACACAUUACACACCCACUCUCACUCACACUCACAAUACACACCCACUCUCUCACAAUACACACCCACUUUCAAUACACACCCACUCUCAAUACACACCCACUCACAUUCCCAAAAACCCACUCACUCACACACAAACACACACACAGGGAUGGGAUGGGGACCACUGUCUGGUGCAGGUGGUCUCUCUCUCUCUGCUUCCUGGCACCAGCGAGCAGAAUCCGGACAGGAGGGCCUGUCAGCUGUUUCUCCAGCCCCACCGGGCCCGGUGCCGUGUAGAACCCUGGUCCACUCCACAGCCCCGGAUCCAGCCCGUCCUCGGUUCUGAUCCGCUCGGUUCUUCGGCAGCCGGACCAGCGCAGCUGGCCGGGAGGCAGUCUGGCGG
rnacentral:lncRNA from 1 species